rnacentral:rRNA from 1 species
AGUCGAACGAUGAUACCACUGCUUGCAGUGAUUGAUUAGUGGCGAACGGGUGAGUAACACGUGAGGAACUUGCCCAUGAGCGGGGGACAACAUUCGGAAACGGAUGCUAAUACCCCAUAGGUGGAUUGGUCGCAUGACGAAUUCAUUAAAGGUGGCUUUGCUACCACUCAUGGAUAGCCUCGCGGCGUAUUAGCUAGUUGGUAAGGUAAUGGCUUACCAAGGCAGUGAUACGUAGCCGACUUGAGAGGGUGAUCGGCCACACUGGGACUGAGACACGGCCCAGACUCCUACGGGAGGCAGCAGUAGGGAAUCUUCCACAAUGGGUGCAAACCUGAUGGAGCAAUGCCGCGUGAGUGAAGAAGGUCUUCGGAUCGUAAAGCUCUGUUGUUAGAGAAGAGCACGUGCUAGGUAACUACUAGCGCCUUGACGGUAUCUAACCAGAAAGUCACGGCUAACUACGUGCCAGCAGCCGCGGUAAUACGUAGGUGACAAGCGUUGUCCGGAUUUAUUGGGCGGAAAGGGAGCGCAGGCGGUCUGUUUAGUCUAAUGUGAAAGCCCACGGCUUAACCGUGGUACGGCAUUGGAAACUGACAGACUUGAAUGUAGAAGAGGAAAAUGGAAUUCCAAGUGUAGCGGUGGAAUGCGUAGAUAUUUGGAGGAACACCAGUGGCGAAGGCGA